AUUGAACGCUGGCGGCAGGCCUAACACAUGCAAGUCGAACGGUAGCACAGAGAGCUUGCUCUCGGGUGACGAGUGGCGGACGGGUGAGUAAUGUCUGGGAAACUGCCUGAUGGAGGGGGAUAACUACUGGAAACGGUGGCUAAUACCGCAUAACGUCGCAAGACCAAAGAGGGGGACCUUCGGGCCUCUUGCCAUCAGAUGUGCCCAGAUGGGAUUAGCUUGUUGGUGAGGUAAUGGCUCACCAAGGCGACGAUCCCUAGCUGGUCUGAGAGGAUGACCAGCCACACUGGAACUGAGACACGGUCCAGACUCCUACGGGAGGCAGCAGUGGGGAAUAUUGCACAAUGGGCGCAAGCCUGAUGCAGCCAUGCCGCGUGUAUGAAGAAGGCCUUCGGGUUGUAAAGUACUUUCAGCGGGGAGGAAGGUGUUGUGGUUAAUAACCGCAGCAAUUGACGUUACCCGCAGAAGAAGCACCGGCUAACUCCGUGCCAGCAGCCGCGGUAAUACGGAGGGUGCAAGCGUUAAUCGGAAUUACUGGGCGUAAAGCGCACGCAGGCGGUCUGUCAAGUCGGAUGUGAAAUCCCCGGGCUCAACCUGGGAACUGCAUUCGAAACUGGCAGGCUUGAGUCUUGUAGAGGGGGGUAGAAUUCCAGGUGUAGCGGUGAAAUGCGUAGAGAUCUGGAGGAAUACCGGUGGCGAAGGCGGCCCCCUGGACAAAGACUGACGCUCAGGUGCGAAAGCGUGGGGAGCAAACAGGAUUAGAUACCCUGGUAGUCCACGCCGUAAACGAUGUCUACUUGGAGGUUGUGCCCUUGAGGCGUGGCUUCCGGAGCUAACGCGUUAAGUAGACCGCCUGGGGAGUACGGCCGCAAGGUUAAAACUCAAAUGAAUUGACGGGGGCCCGCACAAGCGGUGGAGCAUGUGGUUUAAUUCGAUGCAACGCGAAGAACCUUACCUGGUCUUGACAUCCACAGAACUUUCCAGAGAUGGAUUGGUGCCUACGGGAACUGAGAGACAGAUGCUGCAUGGCUGUCGUCAGCUCGUGUUGUGAAAUGUUGGGUUAAGUCCCGCAACGAGCGCAACCCUUAUCCUUUGUUGCCAGCGAUUAGGUCGGGAACUCAAAGGAGACUGCCAGUGAUAAACUGGAGGAAGGUGGGGAUGGCGUCAAGUCAUCAUGGCCCUUACGACCAGGGCUACACACGUGCUACAAUGGCGCAUACAAAGAGAAGCGACCUCGCGAGAGCAAGCGGACCUCAUAAAGUGCGUCGUAGUCCGGAUUGGAGUCUGCAACUCGACUCCAUGAAGUCGGAAUCGCUAGUAAUCGUGGAUCAGAAUGCCACGGUGAAUACGUUCCCGGGCCUUGUACACACCGCCCGUCACACCAUGGGAGUGGGUUGCAAAAGAAGUAGGUAGCUUAACCUUCGGGAGGGCGCUUACCACUUUGUGAUUCAUGACUGGGGUGAAGUCGUAACAAGGUAACCC
rnacentral:rRNA from 1 species